rnacentral:lncRNA from 1 species
AAACACAAACGGAUUUAUCAGAUUUAAACGCUAAGAACACAGAUCAGAUCAAACUCGACAGAAUAUGAACAGAUCCAAACGAAAAUCAGAGAGAAAAAUCGAACACUUCCCUUCCAGAGUUGCUCUGAUACCACUUAAUGAGAUCCUAGGAUGAUGCUCUGGAACAGAUGGGAUAAUCCUUGCAGAAACGAAUCAAAAGACUCAAGCUUCUCAAGGUAUGUGGAUCGAAUGGUGACACAAGAGGCUGCGGAAAGGCUUCUUGAUACUCCUAGGCUUAGAUCGGAUAUGACACACCUCUCUAAAGCCCUUGGGCGUUGGAUAUUACACACCAACAGACUGGAUAUUACACACCAGACACUCACUCACGACAAGAGAGAAAAGAACCAAAAGGUUUUGAU